CGGGAGGGUGAGUAAUGUCUGGGAAACUGCCCGAUGGAGGGGGAUAACUACUGGAAACGGUAGCUAAUACCGCAUAACGUCGCAAGACCAAAGAGGGGGACCUUCGGGCCUCUUGCCAUCGGAUGUGCCCAGAUGGGAUUAGCUAGUAGGUGGGGUAACGGCUCACCUAGGCGACGAUCCCUAGCUGGUCUGAGAGGAUGACCAGCCACACUGGAACUGAGACACGGUCCAG
rnacentral:rRNA from 1 species